AAUAAGCGCCUCCUUAACUCCCUAAAAUUGUUGAAUACAAAAGAUAAAUACAUAGACAACCUACUUCCCAAGUUACUGAAGCAAUAUACGUCAUUCAGCAAACAAUCAUACAUACAUAUAAAAUGUUCUUAAUAAAUAGUAUGGUCUACGCGUAUUUCACAUCUAUAUCAUUCCAUACAAAAAUUAUAAAUAAACAAACAUAGAGCAGCUUAAGGACUAGUCACACCAAGAAAGUCACCUGCUAAUCUUCUUCAGAUGCAU
rnacentral:misc_RNA from 1 species